CUGUUGUUGUUUUUAGAGCAUGUAGGUAAAGAAGAGAUCUUUCAUAUCCUGUUAUUUGCUUUGAGUAGCCACACAUCCCACAUGGUCAUGAGCCUUCACUUUACUGAGAAAGCACUUUGCAACCACUACUUGUUUCUCUUCCAGUAAAAAUUUCCACAAACUUUGGCAAAGUUUUGUUUUUAUACAGGGACAGCUGGAGUGGGCGGUGUAAAGCUGAUUCAUUUAACUUUUUCCUGACUUAAACGUGCGUUUUAAGGUUGUAGAUAUCUCCUGAUAUGAUUGUGGAUCUCUCCUGAGCCUAUGAAGUUGUGCUGAGAAACCGUGACAAAACCAGAACAAAGUAAGAGGGGAAAAACAUCACAGCUGGAUCUGGACAGAACGUCACUCUGACAUGUCGAGCUCCAAACAACAACAUCAUAGGUGUAAAGUGGAGCAGCACUGACCUGGAGCCAGAAUAUGUGCUUUUUUACAGAAAUGGGCAGUUUGAUCUAGAAAACCAGCAUCCAUCUUUUAAGAACCGGGUGGAUCUGCAGGACAGACAGAUGAAGGAUGGAGACGUGUCUCUGAUUCUGAAGGAUGUGACGAUUAAUGACACUGGAAGAUAUGAGUGUCGUGUCUUCUCAAAAGGGAGGAACACUGACCCCAUCAGCAUCAUCUACCUGAAAGUUUUUCCUCCAGGUCAGUCAGGAGGACACACAGAGGAUGGAUCUGUUGGACUGAUUGUUGGUCUGUCAGUUUCUGCUGUGCUUCUUGUUGUUGUUGUUGCUGCUGUUGUUGGUGGUGUUUUGAUCUAUAGAAAACAUAAACGGCAACAACAGAGUCAAGAUUCAUAUAAGCCUCCUGUUGAACAGCAGGAUGUUUGAAAUGUCUCAGAGAGGGAAAGGAAAAGCAGGAGAAAGUCUGACUGAAAAAACUAAAACAAUACCACCAGAGUUGAAAAACCAGAAGAGCUGCAUGUUUCCAAAGAGAUUUCACAGGAUGGAUGAUGGUCUGAUAAAUCAGCUGUAAAUACUCACUGUGCCUCAAAGAAGAAAAAAUAGACAUAAAACAAAGAAGAACACAAGUUCAAUAUAUCUUUAUGAGAUUUAAAUACACACACACACACACACACACACGUAUUGUUACAUAUUUAUGUAUUAUAUUAUAUUUACUUUCAACACUGAACAUUUAUGGCUUAUUAUGUAUUGGACAUUUCUAAAUAACAAUAUUUAUUAUUAGUAGUAUUAUUCAGUUUUUAUAAUAGUUAUAUCUUAAACAUUUCUUCCACACACAGGUUCAAUAUUUGAUUGUAGCUUUUGUCUGAGUCAUUUACAUCUUGUUUGUAUGUGGACCAGUUGGUCCUGUGUUCAAUCAAAGAAAAGUGAGCAAAUUUGAAAGUAAGUAGAAUGAGAAAACAUUUGUUUUCAUAGCACAAGGUAAACAGUUUGAGUGAACGCUCUGAAUCAAGGCUUCUCUUCCACUGAUGUCAACAAAUAACCUUAUGCUUUGUUUCCUCAAAGUAUUCAUGAAUUCAGGGACCUGUCUGUUUCAGAAACAGUGUGUUUUAUUUUCAGGUUCAGCUGUUUGUGAGAAUAAAGUUGUUCUGUUAAGUUUGAACCACACUGACUGAUCUUCAUGACUGAAAGGACAAACAUGUGAUAAAGAACAGAUGGAUUAUUGUAAAUUAUAGAUCAUAAAUCAUCUAUUCCAAAGUGUACCAGAUAGCUUCAAUUGAACAACUGAAUGUUCUAAUAGCAAAAUUAAACCAAACCCAGACAUAACCUCUGUAUAAAAGUCACAUGUUCCUCCCUCUGAUCUGUGAAGGUUUUUUUGUUGGUUUUCUGGUUGUUACUUCAAUUUAAAUGUUUCUAAGGCUGAUCACAUUUUGUGUCUAUUUAAUGUGAUUUUGUUGCUAAUAAAAUUUUACAGUACUGUGAAAGGAACUUUGUCUUAACUGACUAUGUGUUUUCUGUGGAAGUAAAACUUGUUUUUAUUUAAAGGUUUCUGAUGUGUAAAACACUGUCUUCAUCAGACAGAGAAAUGGAAAUGGACUUAGAAUAUGUUCCUGUAACAACAAACUACAAAACGGAAAGUUUUGUAGUUUGUAGAAAGUUGUUUUAAAUAUACUGCAAAUAAUUUUAUUGGUGUCACUGAGUCUGAGGCUGUGUUGGUUUUAGAUACAGAAUGUACUAUAUUUAGAUGAAAAAGUGAAGUGCUAAUUCAACAGCUUUCAGGCCUUUUUACACCAGAUGCAUAAACUAUAUUUUUCAGACUUGCCUUUUCUUAAUGCAGCUAUUCACACGGCCACGUAAUUUUACUUAACCAAUUUGCAGCAUUUACUUUUUUGAAACAAGCUUGAUUUACUUGAUGUUUAGUAGUAAGUAAGUAAGUAAGAGAGAUUCCAUAUCUCAUAAGUUGAUCUGCACAAACCGAUUUGAUUAAUCAGAUGUAUGCAUGUGGCAACAUAUGUACUAA
ensembl:lncRNA